UCCUGCUCAGUCAGUAGAGCAUGAGACCCUUAAUCUCAGAAUUGUGGGUUCGAGCCCCACAUUGGGAG
rnacentral:tRNA from 1 species